rnacentral:rRNA from 1 species
ACUGCUCAGUAACACGUAGUCAACAUGCCCAGGGGACGUGGAUAACCUCGGGAAACUGAGGAUAAACCGCGAUAGGCCAAGAUUUCUGGAAUGAAUCAUGGUUUAAAUCUAUAUGGCCCCUGGAUUGGACUGCGGCCGAUCAGGCUGUUGGUGAGGUAAUGGCCCACCAAACCUGUAACCGGUACGGGCUCUGAGAGGAGGAGCCCGGAGGUGGGCACUUAGACAAGGGCCCAGGCCCUAUGGGGCGCAGCAGGCGCGAAACCUCUGCAAUAAGCGAAAGCUUGACAGGGUUACUCUGAGUGAUUUCCGCUAAGGAAGUCUUUUGGCACCUCUAAAAAUGGUGCAGAAUAAGGGGUGGGCAAGUCUGGUGUCAGCCGCCGCGGUAAUACCAGCACCCCGAGUGGUCGGGACGAUUAUUGGGCCUAAAGCAUCCGUAGCCGGUCCUGCAAGUCCUCCGUUAAAUCCACCCGCUCAACGGUUGGGCCGCGGGGGAUACUACAGGGCUAGGAGGCGGGAGAGGCAAGCGGUACUCGAUGGGUAGGGGUAAAAUCCACUGAUCCAUUGAAGACCACCAGUGGCGAAGGCGGCUUGCCAGAACGCGCUCGACGGUGAGGGAUGAAAGCUGGGGGAGCAAACCGGAUUAGAUACCCGGGUAGUCCCAGCUGUAAACGAUGCAGACUCGGUGAUGGGCUGGCUUCGUGCCAACCCGGUGCCGCAGGGAAGCCGUUAAGUCUGCCGCCUGGGGAGUACGGUCGCAAGACUGAAACCUAAAGGAAUUGGCGGGGGAGCA